GUCUGGGUGCCUAGAGUGGUCCUUUAAAUUUCAUAUAAUACUGUAACAGCACAGCUGACCAAAUGGUAAGGGAAUGGGAUGUCACACUAUUGAGGCAGAGUUGAUGCAGAGACUACUUUAAGCUCUGCAUCAAACAUGCAGUGAGGUUGUGGGUCAAAGUUGUUUGCUUGAAGCCCACAUUGUAAUGACACUGAUACGAUUUGUGGUAUAGUCUAUAAAGAGCACAUGGUGCAGUUGCUGUUGGACCCUGCAGAUCAUGGGUGCCUGGUCAGCUGCACCUUUCUCCCUGUUUUACAGACAAUCCUGUUUUUUCCCUUUCUAGUACUUUAGUCCUGCAGUUACCCCAAGCCAUUGUGCCAAACACCCAGUGGUUCUUGUAUUAAAUCUUGCCAUAGUAGAGGUUUUACUUUUUUAGGGUGUACUUGUACACUUGGGACACUGGAACUUAAUGGUUAGCUGAUCUACCCCACCACUUAAACCAUUUAAGUAAAAAGUGUAGCGCUAAGACAUUUUUUAUACAACUUACCCCUCAAG